GCAGGACGUCCUCUGGUUGCCCCAGAAGUGCUUUAUGCCUCAGAGAAGAGAAUAAUGUUACAAGGUUGCAGGGGAAUGAUCAGAUUGGAGGCAAGACUAGUGAGUCUCACAUUGAAGAAGAAAAGCUUGGAACAGAAAUCUAACAGAUUUUCCAAUUGCCUUGAUCUAUGGAAACCAAAAUCUUGAAAGAGUCUGGACAGUUUUAUUGAGUCGGACCAGAACUGUCAUGGCGCCUUCAAGAAGAGAGGGAAGGCCUUCCUUUCGCCCAUCAGAAUCUUCGGGGGCACCUGGACUGGACGAGGGGUGGACAGAGCGAUGA